rnacentral:rRNA from 1 species
UACGAAGGGUGCAAGCGUUACUCGGAAUUACUGGGCGUAAAGCGUGCGCAGGCGGUUGUGUAAGACAGAUGUGAAAUCCCCGGGCUCAACCUGGGAACUGCAUUUGUGACUGCACAGCUGGAGUGCGGCAGAGGGGGAUGGAAUUCCGCGUGUAGCAGUGAAAUGCGUAGAUAUGCGGAGGAACACCGAUGGUGAAGGCAAUCCCCUGGGCCUGCACUGACGCUCAUGCACGAAAGCGUGGGGAGCAAACAGG